rnacentral:tRNA from 1 species
GGAGAGGUGACCGAGUGGCCGAAGGUGCUCGCCUGCUAAGCGAGUGAGGGGCUAAAACCCCCUCCGAGGGUUCGAAUCCCUCCCUCUCCGCCA